CAAGAAAGAGGCUUGCAGCCUCUGUGGCCAAGGUACGACAGGAACUGGAUGAAAAAAUCACUAAGGAACUGAAAGAAGCCACUGCUGAACUUGAAACUGGAUGUGCUGGAUCUUCAAAAAACCUUCAUGUGGAUCAGGAUCC